UACGUAGGUGGCAAGCGUUAUCCGGAAUUAUUGGGCGUAAAGAGCGCGCAGGUGGUUGAUUAAGUCUGAUGUGAAAGCCCACGGCUUAACCGUGGAGGGUCAUUGGAAACUGGUCGACUUGAGUGCAGAAGAGGGAAGUGGAAUUCCAUGUGUAGCGGUGAAAUGCGUAGAGAUAUGGAGGAACACCAGUGGCGAAGGCGGCUUCCUGGUCUGUAACUGACACUGAGGCGCGAAAGCGUGGGGAGCAAACAGGAUUAGAUACCCGGUA
rnacentral:rRNA from 1 species